rnacentral:misc_RNA from 1 species
UGGUUCUGGCAUNGAUGAAGAACGCAGCGAAAUGCGAUACGUAAUGUGAAUUGCAGAAUUCAGUGAAUCAUCGAAUCUUUGAACGCACAUUGCGCCCCUUGGUAUUCCGAGGGGCAUGCCUGUUCGAGCGUCAUUUCACCAAUCAAGCCCCGCUUGGUAUUGGGAGCGGCCCCCGCCAGACGGCGGGCCCCCCCGAAAUGCAUCGGCGAGGACACCGACCCCCGGCGUGUUAGAUUUCUGAACGUCAGGAGCACCGGAGCCCUCCGCCGUACAAUCUUUUUUUAUCAAAGGUUGACCUCGGAUCAGGUAGGAAUACCCGCUGA